rnacentral:rRNA from 1 species
AACGUAGGUUCCGAGCGUUAUCCGGAUUUACUGGGCGUAAAGCGCGUUCAGGCGGUUCGGCAAGUCGGGCAUGAAAUCUCUCGGCUCAACCGGGAGAGGUUGUCCGAUACUGUUGGACUUGAGGGCAGUAGAGGGUGGUGGAAUUCCGGGUGUAGUGGUGAAAUGCGCAGAUAUCAGGAAGAACACCUAUGGCGAAGGCAGCACUCUGGGACGGUACUGACGCUGAGACGCGAAAGCGUGGGGAGCGAACAGG